rnacentral:misc_RNA from 1 species
GAUCUGAAGACAAUAAAAGUGUCAACAUUGGCAUGGAGGAGAAGUUCACUGUUCGUAAAAAGAGAGAGAUAAAAUAUAAUUGAAGCUGGCAGAAACCGCCACAUUGUUUUAAGAUCAAGCUUAUCAUGUUCUAGAACCUUGAGCCACCCGCACAUGAGAACUCCAGCUGCACUUGUGAAAUACUGCAGUGCAGUUAGUGUCCCUGGGUAAGGAAAUUUCAU